rnacentral:lncRNA from 1 species
AUGCAACUCAUACACACUGGGAAAAAUUUAGUGCACACACACACACACACAAAAGAAAAAGCACAGACAACCUCACAGAAGCCGCCCCCUUUUGGGUCUGGUGCUCUUUCUCCAGGUGAGCCUCCCAUGCACUUUCUUGUCAGUUCGACAGAUGUGGGGCUCAUUCUUCCCACCUCAUGCUGUAACCAUGGCAUCCUCAGUUGUGAAAAUAUCUACAUAUUUAUGUCACUUACAAUAACCAUAGGACAUUCUGCCAUUUAAUGUGGGCCUUAGAACUAAAUCAUCGUGUUCUGAGUAAUUGUAGAUUACGUUAAAGGUCUUUUGAGUGCAACUGAAUCCCGUCUUCUUGAGGGAGCUGAGCUGGAGGAGACGCAUCAGGUUGCCCCUCUUGGGUCUGUGCGGCGGGUGAUUGAUGGGCCACUGUCUGGGCCUCCUUCACACUUCUAGGGACAGCUCUGGGGCAACAUGGCGCCCUCUGGGAACCCGCCUUCUCCUUCUUCCAGACCUGGCUGUCUAUUCCAGGUCACGGGGGUUUCUGGCUGGUGGGCUCCCUGAGAGAUCCGGUAAGGACUGGGUGGGGUAAGGGACUCUGGAAGGAUCAGGUGGGUCACAGUGUUCCCCUGCAGAUUGGAGUCACAGGGAAGCGUUAAAAACUUUCCUAAUGCCUGGGCUCCACUUCUGAGAAAUUCCACCUGAAUUCCUGGGUGGGAAUCGUGUGGUAGAGUGUGGACCUGUCUUGAAGGUAGGUGGUCCCCAUGGGUGUGUGCCAGCCUGAGGGCCACCUGGGGCAAUGGAGACCGAGACUUCAGGAGCUGGAGUGAGACUCGAACAUCACCCUGGGAGUGUGAGUGUGUGCAGGUGUGAGAGUGAGUGUGUGCAGGUGUGAGAGUGUAUGCAGGUGUGAGAGUGUGUACAGGUGUGUGUGUGAGUGUGUGCAGGUGUGAGAGUGUGUACAGGUGUGUGUGCAGGUGUGAGAGUGAGUGUGUGCAGGUGUGAGUGUACAGGUGUGUGUGUACAGGUGUGAGUGUGUGCAGGUGUGAGAGUGAGUGUGCAGGUGUGAGAGUGUAUGUGAGUGUGUGUAGGUGUGAGAGUGUGUGUGAGUGUGUGCAGGUGUGAGUAUGAAUCCUCCGUUCAGCACAGCAGAUUAGUUGCACUGAGUUGUGGCACCUUGCUGCUUUGGGAGGCAGCCAGUGGCACAGAACAAAGGCCAGGUGUGAGCUGUGACUGCUCUUUGUAGCUGCCCAGAGCCCCAGGGCCACAAGCCUGGCCAAGCCAUCUCAGGCUGCACCCAGCUUCUUGGAGAAGUGAUCCCACAAGGGCUUUGAACGCAGUCUGGAGGGGCAAGCUCUUCCCCCACCUCUGUACCUGGGCCAUGGAUCUGGGGCAGGGAGGGCCGAGUACUCUUGGUCAGCAUGGCCUGGUCAGGAUUUCAUCUAGGCCUCUUGAGUUGUGCAUAUGAACUUGAACCUGUGCAUGUGAGUUCCCUCCUGGAGGAGGUAUGACCCCACCGCCCUCCCAGAGCUGUGGGCACCUGGGAACAAAACACGCUUCGUCAUAAUUUGCGGUUUGUAAUCGCAUCUUUUCCCUAUUGACUGAAGUGGACUUCGUGGUUUUCUCAUUUAGUUUGUUACUACAAUAAUAGAUUUUUUCCUGACAUUAAAAACUCCUGACUCUCCUGGAAUGACUACUUGUUAAGGUUUUAAAUACACCAUUGGGUUUCACUCACUGAUAUUUUAUUUAGAAUAUAUUUGCUGCCUUUAACUUUCCUUCCUCACAAUUUCUGUUUUGGGAUCCAGGUUUCCCCAGCCUUACACAGGAGCAGAGCUGCCCUCUGAGGGACUCCGAGGGGAGGCAGGAAGUCCCCACAGGGAGACACACAGGCAGGGCUUGGGGCAGAAGGGAGGGGAUGGGAGGGUGGUGAGGUCCUGGGUCAGGGGUUUCUGGACCCAGAGCCAGGGGGCUGAGGGAGCUUGGGGGACACGGUCAUGAUGCCCCAGUUGAGGUCAGGUGUUUGGGGCCUGAGGGACAGCUGUGGGCCACCCUGUGGGUCUAAAGCUCUUUACUGAGGUCUCGGCCAUGGACUUGGACAGCCUGGACGCAGGUGAGGAGAGGACGGGGACAGAGGGAGAGGAUCUGUGAAGGACCCAGAGGAGGAAUGCGGGAGGCAAGGGAGGAGCCCUGGGGGCAGGACUGUGGGGCCAGAGGGCAAGGCGGCCUUGCAGAGGACAGACCCUCCAGAGCCCCUGCAGCGCCUUCCUUGGCUGGUUUGGGUGACUCUCCCACCACCUUUAAGGUUUCAUUGCACCUCAGUUAGGGGUGGGCGAGCUUCCUGUGCAAUGGACCAGGGAGACGUUGUACCAGUACUGUGGCCUCUGGUCUCAGGGGCAGUGUACAAGGGAGUGGCGUGGCAGGACUGAGAGCUGGAUAUGGCCCCUGGGCGCAUCUCUUGCUGGCAAGUUCUUCGUAACAGGUGUGUGUACUACCUGGCAGGACCUCAUGCCCCACAGAGGGCCCAUACUCCUGCUUCUGAAACCCCUUUUGUGAAAUGGGAGAAGAGCAGAACUAAAUGUGGGGUCAUCAGAACACCCAAGUAGGCCAACACAGCCUGCUGCCCCUGCUGGGCCCAGCAGAGUCCCUUCAUCUGGCAUCAGCCACCUCUAGGUUGGCCACACCAAGGACGAAGCUGGCCCUGUGCAUUCUCUAGGGUGUCUGGAACAGGGGGCUGUGGCUGCAGGGCUGGGGCACUCGCAGAGAGCUGGGACCGAAGAGCCGGGGGCACCUGCUGCAAGUCUGAGGAGUGGCUGCCAGUCAAGAGGGAAGAGAGGCCACAGCGAGGGUGGAGGGCAUGUGAGGGCAUGGCCAGGCCCCUGAGCUUCCAGAGGCUGGAGGAAGCUCUGUGCCUCCACCCACUAUUUCACUUGGGUUCCUUGCAAUGCAAAGCCCCAGGUUGGAGGGGCUCCGGGAGGGGCCCCGGCCCCGUUCUUCAGGUUCUCCUCCCAGCGCGGUGCUCAGCCUUGAGAUCUUUGAGCUUUCGCCCUCCUUGUGGUACAUGUGUGGCAAUAAUGGUGCCCUGCAGAGGUCACCCCCUCCAGUUGGUGUUCACGUGGGACCUCAGGAUAUGACCUUAUGUGGAAAUAGGGUCUUUGCAAAUGCAACUCGUUAAGGAAGGCAUACUGGAUUAAGGUGGGCCCUACACCCCAGGACUGGUGGCCUUAUAAGAAGGGGGUGGACAGACAGAUACAGGAAAAGGGGGCGUGAGGGUGGAGGUGAGGCUGAGGGCUGCGGCCCAGCUGGGACCCCCAGAAGUCGGAAGAAGCCAGAACCGAUUAUGCUGAGAACUUGGGGGGGGAAGCCAACCCCGCUCACACUGUGGCGGGACUUCCGGCCUCCUGACCUAGAGAACAACUGAUUAUACUCUGCCCAGCAUGAGGUGCUCUGUCAUGGUGGCCACAGCAAGUGGACGUGGGCUCCAUGAGCAUGUUUCUGAGUGGACCGAGCACCCUUGUUUCUGGAGGAAACCGGUGUUCAUGGCUUUGGCUCAUGUGUGUCCUAAACAUGGGGUUCUUCUGGGCCCCUAGAAGGGUGCUGUACCACCUGAUGGGGACAAAGAAACUGGGCACCUGACCCUGGCCAGCUGUAGUGGUGGAAUGGCCAGGUGCAAGGGACACUGUUAGCACAGGCCAUUUCUGAUGUAGAUGUUGCUGAAAUCUGAGUUCUUGAGAAAACUGACAAGGCUCACGUUGUGAGUAGGAAGCUGGGUUUGAAGGGUGAGUUGUCUAGAAAGGGAAGUCCCCCAAAGCCCCGGGGUGAUGCCUGAGGGCAGCAACUUCAGGACAGCAUCCUGUGGCGAGCAGUCUAAUGGCUUCUGUCUGUGGACCACAGAGAACUGCAGACGGGCCUGUGGGUGGGGGACACCGCGACAUUCAGUGGGUGGCAUUCGGUCCCUUAUCCUGACGCCUGUUUCCAGGCACCCGUGCAGACACGUGCCCUCUGCCCUUGCUCCCAUGCACUCAGGAACACACGUCUGGCCGUGGCCCUCACGGGAUGGCCUGUCCCCUGCUCCGUUCAUGAAAGCAGUACCAUAAGCCAAGAGGGAAACGGACAGGGUUGCGUGGAAAAGGGCUUCCGGGUGUUCUUCCAGGUUGACGGCCUUGUCCUGGAGGACAGUCACAUCCUCUCUGCUGUGAAUCACAGGUCAGAAGCCGCCUUGACCCAUGUUUCUUCUCAUUUCUCUCUGCGGGUGGGACUGUGUACAGCGGGAAGCCCAGAGCCCGUGGAGGACACAGCGGCUGUGUGGAGGCCCAAUGGGCUUGCCUUGCUGCUCUGUCCUGGGCCCAGGGCCCUUCCUGUCAGGGCUGGUGGGCCAUCACAGGUUUCUGAAGAGCACAAACACACAUGCACACGUGAGUGUGUACGCAGACUCCCA